GACGAACGCUGGCGGCGUGCUUAACACAUGCAAGUCGAACGGGAAGGCCCUGCUUUUGGGGGGUGCUCGAGUGGCGAACGGGUGAGUAACACGUGAGUAACCUGCCCUUGACUGUGGGAUAACUUCAGGAAACUGGGGGUAAUACCGGAUAGGAGCUCCUGCUGCAUGGUGGGGGUUGGAAAGUUUCGGCGGUUGGGGAUGGACUCGCGGCUUAUGAGGUUGUUGGUGGGGUAGUGGCUUAGCAAGGCUUGGACGGGUAGCCUGCCUGAGAGGGUGACAGGCCACACUGGGACUGAGCUACGGCCCAGCCCCCUCCGGGAGGCAGCAGUGCGGAAUAUUGCACUAUGGGCGGAACCCUGAUGUAGCAACGCCGCGUGGCGGAUGUCGGCCUUCGCGUUGUAUACCGCUUUCGCCUGUGCCGAAGCGUGAGUGACGGUAAUGGGUAAAGAAGCACCGGCUAACUACGUG
rnacentral:rRNA from 1 species